ACGUAGGGGGCGAGCGUUGUUCGGAUUCACUGGGCGUAAAGGGUGCGUAGGCGGUUUGGCAAGUCCGGCGUGAAUCCUGCAUGCUUAACAUGCAGCCGUCGUCGGAAACUGCCAGGCUAGAGGACGAGAGAGGAGAGCGGAAUUCCAGGUGUAGCGGUGGAAUGCGCAGAUAUCUGGAAGAACACCGGUGGCGAAGGCGGCUCUCUAGAUCGUUUCUGACGCUGAGGCACGAAAGCCAGGGGAGCGAACGG
rnacentral:rRNA from 1 species